UACGUAGGGUGCAAGCGUUGUCCGGAAUUAUUGGGCGUAAAGAGCUCGUAGGCGGCUUGUCGCGUCGGCUGUGAAAACCCGGGGCUCAACUCCGGGCCUGCAGUCGAUACGGGCUGGCUUGAGUGCGGUAGGGGAGACUGGAAUUCCUGGUGUAGCGGUGAAAUGCGCAGAUAUCAGGAGGAACACCGGUGGCGAAGGCGGGUCUCUGGGCAACAACUGACGCUGAGGAGCGAAAGCGUGGGGAGCGAACAGG
rnacentral:rRNA from 1 species